AUAAUAGGGUCUUCGUUGAAAUGAGACCAUUUGUAAAUCUGUCACUACAAUUGCUAGUCUACUGAUAACAAACAGUUCAAAAGACGAGUUAAAACUGAAGAAGCAAUGUUUUCUUCCGUGUAACAUCUCUUAUAGCAAUCUUGUAUUCCUCUAUCCAUUAAUUUGUUUCUUUUUAUACAGAUAAAGAAGAGAUCGUGAAUGAACUCCCAAAAACAUAUCAAGCGACAUUCCACUCAGUCUCCUGUAGUGCAGGACACCAUUAUAUCAGGGGCAGUGUCAUCGUGGUUCAACGAUUAGGUGACCUGAUGGCCGCCAGAGGGAUACUACGUCUGUCAAUGACAUAGUAAACAGUGAUUUGCAGAAACGAACAGACAAGUCGGGCAAACACCACAGCGCAUGGGCAGAGAAAUUGUUUUAAGAUCUGAUACCCUCUGGGACGAAAACUGUAACUUGUUAAUUAUGUAAAAAUAAACAAUCGUCUUAUCACA